rnacentral:misc_RNA from 1 species
UAUUGCAACAACUUGCUCUGUAUCUUUGUUAAAUACUGUGGCAUUUUUAUCAGCACCACCUGUUAAGAUUUUACUGGUAUCUGCACUGUGAAUGUCAAGUGCAAGUAUACCAGGAACACUGGCUGAAUGGAGACCCUUAAAAAUAAAUAAGUAACAAUAAUAACAACGUAUGAAAAAUUUCUUACAUAAAUGAAGGAACACAAUAUUACAGGAUGUGACGCAAGUGUUUGAAAUGCGCGAAUACUAUCUUGUGGAAGUAGAUCUUCAGGAACCGAACGUCCGCGACGUUUCCUUUCUUGAGUUGGGCAGCUGUACCUCCAGCUUCUACUGCAAGUGCCUGCAGGAUCAUGUAGUUUAUCAGCAAACAUUCUUGAUAUGAUGUAUAAAUAAAAUUAAUAUAAUUUUGUUCAUACAGGUUGUGGAAUAGUAGUAGCCUGAACAAUUCCAGCCUGAGGUUUCAACGUUGCUAAAGCUUCUCUGGCUGCAGUUACUUCUUUUGUUAAUCUAGCAAUUACACGGCAUGCUGCAUCAUGUUGAUAUAAAGAAUGAGAUAGCUCCUGUCUAGCUGUUUGAAGUUGUUGCCUAAGCGUAAAUGAAUGUAACAUAACAGCAUCCCACUCAUCUUGUAAAAUUUUCAAUAUAGCUGGAAUUGAUGUGGCACUUGGUGGUUUAGGUUUAACUAUUGCAGUUGCUGCAAAACAACAAGAAUAUUAUUGAUAACUGGAUGUUGUAUUCAAAGACAAAUAUAUACAGAAACAAGAAAUAUACUUUUGAUAUCAAUAAGUUGAUCUACAGUUAAUUCCUUUCCAGUUAUGGGAUCCACUCCAUUUUCAGCUAGAUAUUUUUCAAUUAAACGUUUCUCAAAUAUGGAACCAGAUACUGGAG